rnacentral:tRNA from 1 species
GAGGUGGUGGCUGAGUGGUUAAGGUGAUUGACAGCUGAUCCAUUGUGCUUUGCAUGCAUGGGUUUGAAUCCCAUUCUUGUCA